rnacentral:misc_RNA from 1 species
CCUCCUUAUACGAUUUAGAACUUAUUUGUUCGUAGUGUCCACACAGAUGAUUGUUAGUUAGUUUUACCCUUUGGGUUAACUAAUUAAUAUGCUCUUUAAAAAUUUGGAAAAGCUGAUAAUAAAAUUCGUAUGAAUAACAUUGUUAUUUGUACAGAGUUUUCAAAAGUAAAAAAGAAUGAUAGCAGUAUCAUUCAGUGCCAAUUUAAUCCUCGGAUUAAUUGGUAUCUACUUUAGUAUUCAGUAUUAACUUCUGGCGAAGUUAAACUGUCACGAAACAAAGACCCGUUUGGGUUGUAUGGUUAAGUGACUAAGCGUACACGGUGGAUGCCUUGGCAGUUGGAGGCGAUGAAGGACGUAUUAACUUGCGAUAAGCCUAGUCAAGCUAGUAAAAAGCACUUGAGACUAGGAUUNCCGAAUGGA